rnacentral:tRNA from 1 species
GACUCUGUAGUGAAGUUCAUAGUGAGUUGCAAGCUCAUUGAUGUGCAUGUAUUGCGCCGGAGUCU